rnacentral:rRNA from 1 species
AGCAGCCGCGGUAAUUCCAGCUCCAAUAGCGUAUAUUAAAGUUGCUGCAGUUAAAAAGCUCGUAGUUGAAUUUCGGGACUAAUAUGUCGGUCGUGCCUCGGUACGUACUGGUAUUUUUGGUUUCUCCCUUCUGACGAACCUUGAUGUCAUUAAUUUGGUGUCUUGGGAAAUCAGGACUGUUACUUUGAAAAAAUUAGAGUGUUUAAAGCAGGCUCACGCUUGAAUACAUUAGCAUGGAAUAAUGAAAUAGGACGUUUGAUUCUAUUUUGUUGGUUUCUAGGAUCGACGUAAUGAUUAAUAGGGAUAGUUGGGGGCAUUAGUAUUCAAUUGUCAGAGGUGAAAUUCUUGGAUUUAUUGAAGACUAACUACUGCGAAAGCAUUUGCCAAGGAUGUUUUCAUUAAUCAAGAACGAAAGUUAGGGGAUCGAAGACGAUCAGAUACCGUCGUAGUCUUAACCAUAAACUAUAGCCGACUAGGGAUCGGAUGAUGUUAAUUUUUAAUG